rnacentral:rRNA from 1 species
UACGAUAGGCCAAUUAAUUUUCUCAGUUUUAUUAAGAUACCAUAAAAUUAAUUAUAAGUUAAAUUUUAUAUAAUAAGAACCGCUAUUACCUGCAUUAAAUUAUUAACUAAAACAAGGAUUAGAUACCCUUCUAUUAAUAACCAUAAAAAUUAAACUAGAUAAUACGAACCAUAGUUUAAAAUCUAAAGAAUUUGGCGGUGACCCAUAAAAUCAGGGGAACCUGUUUAUUAAAUCGAUAACCCACGUAAUGAGAAACCUAAAUUUGAACAUCAACAUGUGUACUGCCGUUGAAAAUAUACCUUUAUAGAGAGUAUAUAAAAAAAGACAGCUUCUAACAUCAGGUCAAAGUGCAGUUUAUAUAUUAGGAUUAAAUGGGUUACAAUCUUUACAUGCCUCUAGAGCCCCUUAUUAAAUUAUAGGAUAAAAUUGGACUUGACAGUAAUUUAAAUUAACUUAUUUAAAUGAAAAUUACCUGGGUCAUGCACACAUCGCCCGUCACUCCCUCUAUAAAAGAGGG